AAAACUUUCAACAACGGAUCUCUUGGUUCUGGCAUCGAUGAAGAACGCAGCGAAAUGCGAUAAGUAAUGUGAAUUGCAGAAUUCAGUGAAUCAUCGAAUCUUUGAACGCACAUUGC
rnacentral:rRNA from 1 species